AAAAAUCAAUUAAUUCACAAAAAAUAUCAAAAAAAAAAUCCAAAAAAAAUAUUCUAAUUCAAAAUAUGGAAGAGGAAAAUAUUUUAAGAUUUUUGGUGAAAGUCCCAUAUUUUUUUGAUUAAAAAUGAAUUUAAUAUGAAUUAAUCAAAAUAAAUGGAUUAAAAGGAAAAUCAGAAAAUAAAAAGAAAUUAUAAAAAACAAGGGUCAUCAGAUCUCCCUCAUUAAUUGAGGUGGCAGAUUUGAUGGCCACGCG
rnacentral:lncRNA from 1 species